rnacentral:rRNA from 1 species
GGGAUGCUACCGGGCGACCGGAUGCGGAUCUCGAAAGCCUGUCCCAGUUCGGACUGGAGUCUGCAACCCGACUCCACGAAGUUGGAUUCGCUAGUAAUCGCGCAUCAGCCAUGGCGCGGUGAAUACGUUCCCGGGCCUUGUACACACCGCCCGUCAAGCCAUGGGGAGCCGGGGGCGCCUGAAGUCCGGGACCGCGAGGACCGGCCUAGGGCGAAAUGGUAACUGGGGCUAAGUCGUAACAAGGUACC